AGGCAGUGCAAUGUUAGUUGA
rnacentral:miRNA from 1 species